GCAAUUUUGCUUUCAAGAACAUCUGCACUUAUUGCCUAUAAAUGGUGGUUUGGCCCAGCGGUUAAGAGGACUUUCUUGCUGCACUUUCAGAGGAUGAGAGUUCAGUUCCCUGAACCCACAAAAGAUUUGGAGGCUAGAAGUCAAAAAUCAAAGAAUUAGCAAGCCAUGCUUUCUGUCUUUAGGAAAGAAUCUUUGCCCUUUCCAGCUUCUGACAGGUGACUAAAUUCCAUGACCUGUGGAGCAGUACAUUGAUCUCCAUCUCCACCGCCAUCUCCUCUGUGCAUGUGUAUCACCUUUGUCGGGUUGACAUGACAGUUAAAACAGAAUGUCUGCGAGAGAAAUUGGUGGCAGCAGCCUUUAUCACCAGCAAGGUUUAGCGACAUUCAAACUGGCCGAACAAAAUGGGAUUAGAGCCCAAGGCCCUUAGUAGGAUCCUUAUACCUGGGCAUACGCCAGUGAUGAUCAGUGGUCCAGAGCAGCUGUACAGAGCUCUUUGGGGCACAGAGCAUUUGGAGGUGACAUGGGGAUAGAAUUCUACUUUCUACAGCAGGUUCCCAGAGACCAGUGCCACCAUAGUGGAUCGACUAAGCAAAUAACAGCCACAGCAGCAGCUUGCAUUCAACAGCAACCCCUGGGAGCCAGAAGAAGAAGAGUAAGACACAGCACACAUGUUACCUCUCAUCUUUACAACCACUCCAAACCAUCAGCCUCAGAGCUCAGGAAACAACACACAAGGGGGAGUAGCCUGUUCCGAUGGCAUCUGUGCCCAUGCACACACAGGUGGUGUCUAAGAAUCGGCCUACGGGCGUUGGACUCAAAAGCCCAAGUUCUUUUCUUUACUAGAGCAUGCAGACUAUUGGGUAAUGAUUCCCUCACAUACAAAAAAAAAAAAAAAAAAAAAAAAAA